rnacentral:lncRNA from 1 species
GUUCCUAGCAGCUUCUCACAAAAACAGCCCUUCUGCUACAAAAGCCUAGCCAUGCAAAUGCAAUGCACAUAAUUUUUUACAAAUAUCAGAAAAAUCUUGAAUAAGCAUAGAAGGAAUAAUUACUUAUAUUUGUCUAAAGCUGCAUUAGCACUGCUCUCAAUGAGUUCUACCUCUCUUGAGCAGGGAAGAGGACUGAGAGCAGAAAUGAGGCCUUGAUGGAGAAGAAACAUCUGAGAAAAGGAUGAGGCUGGAUUUUACAAAAUCCUCAUCUAAGAUCCCAGGAGGUUGCCAAGUCUCUCCAUUCAAUCGUAACCCUGAGCUGAGUAUCCACAGAAGAAACUGUUCAACAACCCCAAGCCUCAUCAUGAUCUGAAAUUCUUCAGAAUCAAACCAGCCAAGGAGCCAGCAGGGCUCAUUGAUAGAACUUUAGCUUGGAAGGGGAAAAGUGGUAAAAUGGGCUCAGCAGUGAUGAGCAAAGGGGUGGUGUGACAAAACCUGAGGAAAUGACCAUUAAGAAGACCCUUUAAUCUGUUUCACAAGGUGUUAGCUACAAUGUACCAUACCUUAAAUAUUUCUACACUAAUGCAAAGAGCAUGAUGAACAUAUAACAGGAUCUCUGGGUCUUGGCUCAGUCCCAGAAAUUUGACAUUAUUGCCACAAGUGAAACCUGGUGGGAUGAGUCCUGUGUGACUGGAGUGGCCUGUUGGAUGGUUAAAAGCUCUUUGGAAAGGAUAGGAAGGGCAAAGAGUCAUUGUGGAAAUCUACCGCAGACCUUCUAGCCAGGCCAAUGAGACUGAUUAGUUAUUCUUUGAGGAAUCAAGGGAUACUUCCAAGGAAAAUGCUCUUUUUCUUAUGGAGGACUUCAGCUUGCCAGAAAUUGUGAGCAUCAAACAGCUGGUAUAAGCCGAGCCGGAAGACUCCAAA